rnacentral:lncRNA from 1 species
AUGGCACAUAAGCACAGAGAUCAUCCAAGUUUCUCGUGGACACUGGAGGGGCGAGAUGAAUGGCCCACUGCACAGAGUCAGCCUGAAGGCCCACGACGUCGACACUGUUCCUCCGGCAUUCGGAGCAGCCCUGAAGCUCUCCCAAUCACGCCUGAACCCUGGACCUGGCCUCCAUGCACCACAGCUUCUUUCCCACACCACCGCGUGUAUUUGUGUUCACAUGUGUGUGUACCUGUGUGUGCUGGGGGCCGAGGCUGGCGUGUUUCACCCCCCAUGUUCACGAUCAUGGCAUGCCCCUUCUCUGUGCCUGUCAGCGGUUGGAUGACGUGGGAUGCUGGGGGGUGGUCUCUUCUGAGCUGCUCUUCCCUCCCACCGUCACUCCAUUCCUACCACAGGCUGCCAGAGGCAGACCCACACAUCCGAACACAAAGCCAAACCCCUCCCCAGGGGUCCAGAGCAAAGGUGGAUAUUGUCUUCCUUCUCAGGACCCUGGGAGUGACCACGUGGUGAGGCUGUGCGUCCAGGCCCUGGAGGUUGAGUUACUAACCACUUGGCUGAGACACUGUCUUCAGGCUCCCUUGGGCUCACCAGCUGCUACUCCCAGCCUCACUUCCCGUGGUGCACCUGUGCUUUUCUUCUGUUAAUAUUUGCCCAGUGUCCUUCCUUUGGGGGAACUAUCUGCACCAAUGCCCCUGUCUCGUCUAAUUUAGAUGGGAACUAACCCCAGGGGUCCGUACCCCGACCACACAGGGCACUUGACAACCCCCUCCAAGCCCAUUGGUAGCUCCCUUUUAGUAAAUACUGAGCAGAAACCAGAGGCUGGAGGUAAGUUGGAAUCAGCGCCUGAGAGCCGGCUAACUGCUGAGAAUCCUUUCAGAGUGGGUGGCUUGAUCCUUGCUUUGGUUCUCUGGGGCUUCCCUUGUGGCUCAGCUGGUAAAGAAUCCGCCUGCAGUGUGGGAGACUGGGUUCGAUCCCUGGGUUGGGAAGAUCCCCUGGAGAAGAGGAAGGCUACCCACUCCAGUAUUCUGGCCUGGAGAAUUCCAUGGAUUGUACAGUCCGUGGUUUCGCAAAGAGUCGGACACGACUGAGCGACUUUCAUUUCAGUUUCAUUUGAUUCUCUGAGCUUGGUUCCCCACUCCCCUCCUUCACCCUCCCCCACCCCCCACACCCCCACACCUGCCUCCAGUUAGCAGAAAUCCUUUGCUGUUGUUAAUAAACAAAGCAUCAGAUGCA